rnacentral:rRNA from 1 species
CAAGUCGAACGAGAAAGGGUAGCAAUACCUGAGUACAGUGGCGCACGGGUGAGUAACACGUGACUAACCUACCCUGGAGUGGGGGAUAACUGGGAGAAAUCCUAGCUAAUACCGCAUAAUACCUACGGGUCAAAGGAGCAAUUCGCUUCAGGAGGGGGUCGCGGCCGAUUAGUUAGUUGGCGGGGUAAUGGCCCACCAAGACGAUGAUCGGUAUCCGGCCUGAGAGGGCGCACGGACACACUGGAACUGAAACACGGUCCAGACUCCUACGGGAGGCAGCAGUGGGGAAUUUUGCGCAAUGGGGGAAACCCUGACGCAGCAACGCCGCGUGGAGGAUGAAGUCCUUCGGGACGUAAACUCCUUUCGAUCGGGACGAUUAUGACGGUACCGGAAGAAGAAGCCCCGGCUAACUUCGUGCCAGCAGCCGCGGUAAUACGAGGGGGCGAGCGUUGUUCGGAAUUAUUGGGCGUAAAGGGUGCGUAGGCGGUUUGGUAAGUCUUAUGUGAAAUCUACAGGCUCAACUUGUAGUCUGCAUGAGAAACUGCCGGGCUUGAGUAUGGGAGAGGUGAGUGGAAUUCCUGGUGUAGCGGUGAAAUGCGUAGAUAUCAGGAGGAACACCUGUGGCGAAAGCGGCUCACUGGACCAUAACUGAUGCUGAUGCACCGAAAGGCUA